rnacentral:rRNA from 1 species
AGCAGCCGCGGUAAUUCCAGCUCCAAUAGCGUAUAUUAAAGUUGUUGCAGUUAAAAAGCUCGUAGUUGAACUUCGGGGUUUACCCAUUGGUCAGGCUUAAUUGUCUGUACUGGUGAGAUAAAUCUCUACCUUCUGAGGAACUUUCAUGCCAUUUAUUUGGUGUGAUGGGAAAUCAGGACUGUUACUUUGAAAAAAUUAGAGUGUUUAAAGCAGGCUAACGUCUGAAUACAUUAGCAUGGAAUAAUGAAAUAGGACGGACUGAUUCUAUUUCGUUGGUUUCUAGGAUCACCGUAAUGAUUAAUAGGGAUAGUUGGGGGCAUUAGUAUUCAAUUGUCAGAGGUGAAAUUCUUGGAUUUAUUGAAGACUAACUACUGCGAAAGCAUUUGCCAAGGAUGUUUUCAUUAAUCAAGACGAAAGUUAGGGGAUCGAAGACGAUCAGAUACCGUCGUA